UGCCCCAUGGCUGAGUUGGUUACAGCGUCCGACUGUUAUCCUUUCUUUAAGGGCAGCGGUAUCGGAAGGUCGUGAGUUCGAGCCUCACUGGGGCAG